GACACAGGCCCCAGCACUCCACCUGCUGAUGACUAUGAGAAUAUACAAGGCUCAGGCCUCAGUGCUCUGCCUCCGGAUGACGACUCCUCCAGUGUUGAUGACUAUGUGUACAUCCCAUGAACACACUGUGUUCUGUAUCACCUGUAGCAUCACUGAGACCAUCACCUUCAAUACCAACCACAACUGUACCAACAAUCCACUGGA